rnacentral:tRNA from 1 species
AGGGGCAUAGUUCAAUUGGUAGAACAGCAGACUCCAAAUCUGCGUGUUGUGGGUUCAAGUCCUGUUGCCCCUGCCA